rnacentral:lncRNA from 1 species
ACACAGGCUGCUGGCUUCUGGGCAGACACACAGGAAGCAGAUCUGUGCACAUAUAUGGACUUUCAGUAGGGACUUAGAGCACCUCUGAUCGUCAGUGACCGGUGUGAUGCAGUGGCCGUGUACUGUCUGAUGCAAAAGCCAAGGAGGUCUUGGAUAUCUGAAGUGUCCAGGUACUUAAAAUCACCAAUUGGACUGAACAGAUGUACCUCAGGAAUUAAAAAUUUUUCCAGAAGGAGGUAAGAGAUCUUAAAGUAUGCAUAUAUUUGCAUGUUAAUAAGUUUUGGUGAAAAUUUAGAUAUGCUAGUACAUUUCUUCAGUGUAUAAUUUAGAGGAUAAUUUUUAGAAAUUAAGGGCACUUUCUGUUUUUACUUAAAUAUUCUUUAUUCUUUGGAAUGACUUAGAUAUAUGAGACUGCUGUUAACAUUAAAAAAAAAUGGUUCAUAGGGAAGCCACAUUGCCACCUCAAAAUGUCAAGAUCUGAAUGGCCACUGUUUUGCUUUUUUUUUUUUUUUUUUUAAUCUUUAUAUGUUGGACUAGACCAGGUUUACCAAGUUCCCCAAGAGCCACAGAGCAAAGAUAUCUGACAUGGAGGCAGAUUGCCAUCUAGAAAGAUCCUUUGGCCAGCCUGCCCCUUCUACAUUUCCUGGACCACAUAUGGUUACUAUCAGCUACAAUCCAUUCAAAGGCUUGAGUGCCAAGCACAGGGAGAGGAGCCAGUUUGUAGUGUGUUACACUAUCUUAAUUUUGACCUAAGAUAUGAGACUGAAAUAUUACCCUUAAAGUAAAAUAGAAAUCUGAAUGUAUUCAUAUUAUUUUUUAAACCCUUUUUAACUAUAAAUGUUCCUCAAACUUCAUUUCAUUGUAAGUACAAAGAAAAUUCAGCAGCAUUAGGUUUAUCAUCCCACUAUAUUAUAUAUAUUGCUACCGGCAAGAAUUGCUGUUAGAAGAAAUGAAUAAGGAAUUAAAACAUACACUUUAAGAUCAUAGCUAGUAUAUGAGAAUGGCAAGAAAAAAAACCUGAAUCUAAAUAGUAUUUCCCUUAUAGUUGUUUGAGUAGAAAAAGAGUCAUUUAUUAAUUUUAUCUCACUAAAAAUAAGGGGGUCCCAAUUUUAUUAGGUGCCUUGGAAUUUAAUUAGAUGAUUAUUUCUAUUUAAUGUGAACAAAUGCUUCUUCCUUGUUUUUUCAUAUUUAGUGUCAAGAAAAAUAAUAUUUUUAGGAAUUUUAAGGAAAUUACAAUUGCUAAAUGGAAGCAUCACUUCCAAAUGCAAAACAUUCAUCACAUAAGGUAAAAAUGUAGUGAUAUGAGAUUAACACUGAAGCAAUUAAAGUGUCAAGUCAUUAUGGAUUUUUAACUUUUUUAUGCCACAUCUCAUACAUUAGUACUGAUAGGUCAAUAAAGACUCCAAAAUAUGACAUUUGUAUUGCCUGUUCUCUAUACAAAUAUAUACAUUUACACAUACGUAUAAACAUAUCUAUACAUACAUAUAUUCAUUAUUGGGCUACAUUAAUUUUUAGCCUCCGACAGUACCAGUUUCCUGGAUGCUAUUUUUCAUUAGUGUAUCCUGUGCACAAAUACUAAACAUUAUUUUCUUUUUCUAUUUUUCCAAUUACAAUUGCCUCAUAGGGCACCCAUAAAGGAGGAAAAAUUCACAAAAUGCAUUCCUUGGAUACUGAUUAAAAUCUGUUCCAAAUUUAUGAAGGCUGGAGGCAUACAUAGUGGUACUUAAAGAUGUAUACUUAAAGAUCUAGCCAGUUUUUCAAAAUUAAUUUAUAAACACAUCAACAAUCCAAAUGGAUGAGUCUUAAGUUAUUGAAUACAAUUAACAAUGUACACAUGGGAUUGAAGUGGGAUAGUAAUUAGUAUGACUAUUUAUUAAAGUCAAAGUAUCAAAUUUGACUAAAAUCUGAUGAAAUUUAUUUCCACAUAUUGCAUUUAAUGGAAUUAUUUGCAGAAUUGAACAUUUGAUUAUAGGCUUUGAGUAGCACAAAUGUAAACUGGCAUCAAUAAGUACUGGUCUAUUAGAAAAUGUGACCUGGUCAUCCCAAAUCAGACUUUUUUAUUGACAAAGUUCCAUAUCGCUUAGUCUCCCCUUACUUCCUUUUUUUUUUUUUAAUUUUUAUUUACUUAUGAUAGUCACACAGAGAGAGAGAGAGAGAGAGAGAGAGAGAGGCAGAGACAUAGGCAGAGGGAGAAGCAGGCUCCAUGCACCCGGAGCCCGACGUGGGAUUCGAUCCCGGGUCUCCAGGAUAGCGCCCUGGGCCAAAGGCAGGUGCUAAACCCCUGCGCCACCCAGAGAUCCCCUACUUCCUUUUUUUUAAACAGAAGUAACCUAAAUGAGAAUUAUUGACAUUGCAAAUGUAUAGUGAAAUAUUUAAUGUAAAUAAUUACUUAACAGUAUAUUUUGCUUGUCCUGCUAAUUCUAUUGUUUGAUGGCUUACUCACUGAGAGAAUGCCAAUGUGGCAAGAUCCAAGACAUUUUUUUCUUUCCUGAAUCUGAAAAUUAUUCUGUAAUUACUGAUUAUUCCCUUGACAUGGCUCCAUAUAUGUUUGAUUCUAAAUAAAUUCUAGAUUGAAAAGUACAGAUACCUUACUAGUAAGCCUGUGACAAAGAUUUCAAGCAUUUAAAAAAAUAGAAGGCAACUAAAAGAAACUAGUUAAGAAAAAGAUAUACUAAUUUGGAAGAGAGGAAAAUUAGAUAAUAUUCCAUAUUAACUAAAAAGGAAAAUUGAAAAUGUGUGGAUGAAAAAGAAGAAAAAAAUGUAAAUCAGAAUGUGAAAAUAUCAAGUAUUAUAUACAAUUUGAUAUUCCACUUGAGGUUCAUUCUAAAUGACUAUUGAAUAACUGUGAUAUGUUUUUAGGGAAAUUGUCUCAUACAGCAGAAUAAAAUGACACUCCAGAUUCAUAUAGUUCUGGAAUUUCAAGCUGGAUCACUUUGUGACCUUGUGAAAAUUACUUUGCCUUAUUUAAUUUUCUCAUUCAUACAUUGGGACUAACAAUAUCCACUUUUACUUAUAAUUUUUACAAAUUUUGAGAUAGUUAACGGUUUUAUUAAAUUACAUUUUAAAGUGUAUGGUAUAGUUUUCUCUUUCUUUGAAUAUUUUCAAACUAUUUUUUAUUCAUUUUAUUUUUCAUAAGUGUUCAGCUUUUUUCUGUCUAAGUAUACAUCUUAUUUUUUUUCUUCUGAUUAUAAAAUUUUCAAGAUUAAGUAUACUUUUCUUGGGACGCCUGGGUGGCUCAGUGGUUGAGCAUCUGCCUUCGGCUCAGGGCAAGAUCCUGAGUCCCAGGAUCGAGUCCCGCAUUGGGCUCCCUGCAUGGGGCCUGCUUUUCUCUUGGCCUGUGUCUCUGCCUCUCUCUGUGUCUCUCAUGAAUAAACAAAUAAAAUAUUUAAAAAUAAGUAAAUAAAAAUAGUUUUUCUUAUUUAUGUCUGCCCCUCACCCACCAGUUUAAGAGAUAGGCAUUAUU